UGGGGAAUAUUGCACAAUGGACGGAAGUCUGAUGCAGCGACGCCGCGUGGGGGAUGAAGGCUUUCGGGUUGUAAACUCCUUUUGAUGCUGAACAAGGCUCUUUUUAGGGUUGAGGGUAGGUGUUGAAUAUGCGCCGGCUAACUACGUGCCAGCAGCCGCGGUAAUACGUAGGGCGCGAGCGUUGUCCGGAAUUAUUGGGCGUAAAGGGCUCGUAGGCGGUUUGUCGCGUCUGCUGUGAAAGACCGGGGCUUAACUCCGGGGUUGCAGUGGGUACGGGCAGACUAGAGUGCGGUAGGGGUAGCUGGAAUUCCUGGUGUAGCGGUGGAAUGCGCAGAUAUCAGGAGGAACACCGAUGGCGAAGGCAGGUUACUGGGCCGUUACUGACGCUGAGGAGCGAAAGCAUGGGGAGCGAACAGG
rnacentral:rRNA from 1 species